rnacentral:rRNA from 1 species
GACGAACGCUGGCGGCGUGCUUAACACAUGCAAGUCGAACGGUGUACGAGGUAGCUUGCUCCUCUGAUCAGUGGCGAACGGGUGAGUAACACGUGAGCAACCUGCCCCAGACUCUGGGAUAACAGUUGGAAACAGCUGCUAAUACCGGAUACGAGACGGAGAGGCAUCUCUACCGUCUGGAAAGUUUUUCGGUCUGGGAUGGACUCGCGGCCUAUCAGCUAGUUGGUGAGGUAAUGGCUCACCAAGGCGACGACGGGUAGCCGGCCUGAGAGGGCGACCGGCCACACUGGGACUGAGACACGGCCCAGACUCCUACGGGA